rnacentral:rRNA from 1 species
GGGAGAAGUUUGGUGCUUGCACUAAACGGAAACCGGCGAACGGGUGCGUAACACGUAUGCAACCUACCUUAUACAGGGGCAUAGCUCGAAGAAAUUCGAAUUAAUUCCCCAUAGUACUAUUAAAUCGCAUGGUUUGAUAGUUAAAGCUCCGGCGGUAUAAGAUGGGCAUGCGUCCCAUUAGUUAGUUGGUGAGGUAACGGCUCACCAAGGCAACGAUGGGUAGGGGGUCUGAGAGGAUGAUCCCCCACACUGGUACUGAGAUACGGACCAGACUCCUACGGGAGGCAGCAGUAGGGAAUAUUGGGCAAUGGAGGCAACUCUGACCCAGCCAUGCCGCGUGCAGGAUGAAGGCCCUCCGGGUCGUAAACUGCUUUUAUAUGGGAAGAAACCCUCCUACGUGUAGGAGGCUGACGGUACCAUACGAAUAAGGAUCGGCUAACUCCGUGCCAGCAGCCGCGGUAAUACGGAGGAUCCAAGCGUUGUCCGGAUUCAUUGGGUUUAAAGGGUACGUAGGCGGGUUAUUAAGUCAGUGGUGAAAGCCUACAGCUUAACUGUAGAACUGCCAUUGAAACUGGUAACCUUGAGUUUGGACGAGGUGGAUGGAAUGUAUCAUGUAGCGGUGAAAUGCUUAGAUAUGAUACAGAACACCGAUUGCGAAGGCAGUCCACUAGACCAAUACUGACGCUGAGGUACGAAAGCAUGGGGAGCGAACAGGAUUAGAUACCUUGGUAGUCCAUGCUGUAAACGAUGAACACUCGCUGUUGGCGAUAUACUGUCAGCGGCUAAGCGAAAGCGUUAAGUGU